GGGCGCAAGCCUGAUCCAGCCAUGCCGCGUGUGUGAAGAAGGCCUUAUGGUUGUAAAGCACUUUAAGCGAGGAGGAGGCUACUUUAGUUAAUACCUAGAGAUAGUGGACGUUACUCGCAGAAUAAGCACCGGCUAACUCUGUGCCAGCAGCCGCGGUAAUACAGAGGGUGCAAGCGUUAAUCGGAUUUACUUGGGCGUAAAGCGCGCGUAGGCCGGGCUAAUUAAGUCAAAUGUGAAAUCCCCGAGCUUAACUUGGGAAUUGCAUUCGAUACUGGUUAGCUAGAGUGUGGGAGAGGAUGGUAGAAUUCCAGGUGUAGCCGGUGAAAUGCGUAAGAGAUCUGGAGGAAUACCCGAUGGCGAAGGCAGCCAUCUGGCCUAACACUGACGCUGAGGUGCGAAAGCAUGGGGAGCAAACAGGAUUAAGAUACCCUGGUAGUCCAUGCCGUAAACGAUGUCUACUAGCCGUUGGGGCCUUUGAGGCUUUAGUGGCGCAGCUAACGCGAUAAGUAGACCGCCUGGGGAGUACGGUCGCAAGACUAAAACUCAAAUGAAUUGACGGGGGCCCGCACAAGCGGUGGAGCAUGUGGUUUAAUUCGAUGCAACGCGAAGAACCUUACCUGGCCUUGACAUAGUAAGAACUUUCCAGAGAUGGAUUUGGUGCCUUCGGGAACUUACAUACAGGUGCUGCAUGGCU
rnacentral:rRNA from 1 species